UACGUAGGGCGCAAGCGUUAUCCGGAAUUAUUGGGCGUAAAGAGCUCGUAGGCGGUUUGUCGCGUCUGCCGUGAAAGUCCGGGGCUCAACUCCGGAUCUGCGGUGGGUACGGGCAGACUAGAGUGAUGUAGGGGAGACUGGAAUUCCUGGUGUAGCGGUGAAAUGCGCAGAUAUCAGGAGGAACACCGGUGGCGAAGGCGGUGAUCUGGGCCGACACUGACGCUGUAGAGCGAAAGCGUGGGGAGCGAACAGG
rnacentral:rRNA from 1 species